rnacentral:rRNA from 1 species
CCAGAGAACUUAGCAGAGAUGCUUUGGUGCCUUCGGGAACUCUGAGACAGGUGCUGCAUGGCUGUCGUCAGCUCGUGUUGUGAAAUGUUGGGUUAAGUCCCGCAACGAGCGCAACCCUUAUCCUUUGUUGCCAGCGGUUCGGCCGGGAACUCAAAGGAGACUGCCGGUGAUAAACCGGAGGAAGGUGGGGAUGACGUCAAGUCAUCAUGGCCAUUACGGCCAGGGCUACACACGUGCUACAAUGGCGCAUACAAAGAGAAGCGACCUCGCGAGAGCAAGCGGACCUCAUAAAGUGCGUCGUAGUCCGGAUUGGAGCCUGCAACUCGACUCCAUGAAGUCGGAAUCGCUAGUAAUCGUAGAUCAGAAUGCUACGGUGAAUACGUUCCCGGGCCUUGUACACACCGCCCGUCACACCAUGGGAGUGGGUUGCAAAAGAAGUAGGUAGCUUAACCUUCGGGAGGGCGCUUACCACUUUGUGAUUCAUGACUGGGGUGAAGUCGUAACAAGGUAGGCGUAGUGCU